ACUUACCACUUAUUACAAUAUACAUUUCUUCAAAUUCUAGCAAUAUAAAUUUAAACUUCAGGAGCUUCAAGAGAGGAACCAUCAUAUUCCGGCUUUGGUGCAAGGUCUGGAAAGAGGAUGUAUAGCAGAUGUCUGAAGCUUUGGUUGAAAAUUGACAAUCCAUCCAAGCGUAUAGUCGGCCAUAAAUACUAAAUCUCGUUUGUUUUCUUCCAUAUUUGAGAAUUUUUUUUGUUUAAUUGAUAUUGUGAUAGAUGUAUACAUGAAAAUUAUUCAUAGUUGUUAAAUAUAUUUCUACUGAUGCUA